rnacentral:piRNA from 1 species
UGGGUGACUGUUGCAGUUUCCUCUCCAAC